rnacentral:misc_RNA from 1 species
GUUCGAGCAUCAGAUCUUGACAUUGCAUCGGUUUUGGGAAUGAGUUUCCCAUCUUAUCGUGGUGGCAUUGUUUUCUGGGCAGACAUGGUUGGAGCUAAACACAUAUAUAAAAGCCUGAUGAAAUGGUCUCAAUUAUAUGGUAAAUUCUUCAAACCAUCAAGAUAUUUGGAAGAAAGGGCAUCAAAAGGCAUACUGUUGAGUGCCCCUGCUUCAUCGACAAGAUCACGCCUGUAGGCUGCAAUUCUGAAGAGAGUGCUCAAGCAUUAUGUGAUUCAGUGAAA